UUCUUCGGGGCAGGGUGAUUCGUGAAGAACAGAUAUCUGAACGGAAAUUCCCUACCGGCGGUAAAGUCCGCGAGCCUUCGGGCCGAUUUGGUGAGAUUCCAAAACCGACAGUAUAGUCUGGAUGAGAGAAGAA
rnacentral:ncRNA from 1 species